rnacentral:rRNA from 1 species
GGUGAACGCUGGCGGCGUGCCUAAGACAUGCAAGUCGAGCGGGGCAGGUUUAUACCUGUUCAGCGGCGGACGGGUGAGUAACGCGUGGGUGACCUACCCGGAAGAGGCGGACAACCUGGGGAAACCCAGGCUAAUCCGCCAUGUGGUCCUGUCCUGUGGGGCAGGACUAAAGGGUGGAUAGCCCGCUUCCGGAUGGGCCCGCGUCCCAUCAGCUAGUUGGUGGGGUAAAGGCCCACCAAGGCGACGACGGGUAGCCGGUCUGAGAGGAUGGCCGGCCACAGGGGCACUGAGACACGGGCACCACUCCUACGGGAGGCAGCAGUUAGGAAUCUUCCGCAAUGGACGGAAGUCUGACGGAGCGACGCCGCUUGGAGGAGGAAGCCCUUCGGGGUGUAAACUCCUGAACUGGGGACGAAAGCCCUGUGUAGGGGGAUGACGGUACCCAGGUAAUAGCGCCGGCCAACUCCGUG